rnacentral:tRNA from 1 species
GGGGUUGUGGCUCAGUGGUAGAGCGCUUACCUUGCACGUGAGAGACCCUGGGUUUGAUUCUCAGCACCA